CCUACGGGAGACAGCAGUGAGGAAUAUUGGUCAAUGGCCGGAAGCCUGAACCAGCCAAGCCGCGUGAAGGAUGAAGGCCCUAUGGUUUGUAAACUUCUUUUAUAGGGGAAUAAAGUUAUCCACGUGUGGAUAUUUGCAUGUACCCUAUGAAUAAGGAUCGGCUAACUCCGUGCCAGCAGCCGCGGUAAUACGGAGGAUCCGAGCGUUAUCCGGAUUUAUUGGGUUUAAAGGGCGCGUAGGUUGGUUGUUAAGUCAGUGGUGAAAGUUCGUGGCUCAACCAUAAAAUUGCAGUUGAAACUGGCAGAAUUGAGUGUGUUUGAGGUAGGCGGAAUGCGUGGUGUAGAGGUGAAAUGCAUAGAUAUCACGAAGAACUCCGAUUGCGAAGGCAGCUUACUAAGCCAUAACUGACACUGAUGCACGAAAGCGUGGGUAUCAAACAGGAUUAGAUACCCUGGUAGUC
rnacentral:rRNA from 1 species